rnacentral:rRNA from 1 species
UUUGCGAGGGGGAUAACAGUUGGAAACGACUGCUAAUACCGCAUAAUGUCUUCGGACCAAACGGGGCUUCGGCUCCGGCGCAAAGAGAGGCCCAAGUGAGAUUAGCUAGUUGGUAAGGUAACGGCUUACCAAGGCGACGAUCUCUAGCUGUUCUGAGAGGAAGAUCAGCCACACUGGGACUGAGACACGGCCCAGACUCCUACGGGAGGCAGCAGUGGGGAAUAUUGCACAAUGGGGGAAACCCUGAUGCAGCCAUGCCGCGUGUGUGAAGAAGGCCUUCGGGUUGUAAAGCACUUUCAGUUGUGAGGAAAAGUUAGUAGUUAAUACCUGCUAGCCGUGACGUUAACAACAGAAGAAGCACCGGCUAACUCCGUGCCAGCAGCCGCGGUAAUACGGAGGGUGCGAGCGUUAAUCGGAAAUACUGGGCGUAAAGCGCACGCAGGCGGUUUGUUAAGCUAGAUGUGAAAGCCCCGGGCUCAACCUGGGAUGGUCAUUUAGAACUGGCAGACUAGAGUCUUGGAGAGGGGAGUGGAAUUCCAGGUGUAGCGGUGAAAUGCGUAGAUAUCUGGAGGAACAUCAGUGGCGAAGGCGACUCCCUGGCCAAAGACUGACGCUCAUGUGCGAAAGUGUGGGUAGCGAACAGGAUAUAGAUACCCUGGUAGUCCACACCGUAAACGCUGUCUACUAGCUGUGUGUGUCUAUAAAAUGCGUGCGUAGCGAAGCUAACGCGC